GGCAGUACGAGGGAGGAAGGGAUGUUGGAAGGUGACGGCCGGCUGAGGACACAAUGGGGCAUAGAGUAGCAGAACACAGGGUAUGGGGAUGCUGGAGGAUAAGCCGGCUGGAAAUGCUGCGGGGCUAGUGGAAUGGACGUGGGCGGGCGAUAGCCGGCUGAGGACACGGCAGGGCAUGAUGAUAGGAAAGCCGGCGGGGAAUGCGUAGGGCGAGAAUGAAGGGAUACAAGCGGGGCUUAGAAGAGGGGAUGCUGGUUUAAAAAACGCCAGCAUUAACUAAUGCAGGGUAUAGGAUGGAGGGAGCAGGGCAUAAGAUGAGGGGAUGCUGGUUAGAAAAAGAAGCCAGCUGGUAGCGGCAGGGCUUAGGAGGUAACGAUGACAUGGAAAGGACCAGCAGAGGAAGGAACAGGACAAGGGAUGAGGGGCAGCUGGUUAGAAAAAGAAGCAAGCUGGAAGCGCAGCAAGGCAUUAGAGGAGAGAGGCAGAUGGCUGAAGGACAGCUGGGAAUGGUUCGAGGCAUAAGGAGAAGUGACGCUGGGAGAAGGGUGAUUGCUAUGGGUGAGCGGGGACACAGCGGGGCAAGAGAAGGUGGAAUGCUGAUAGGUGAAGGCCAGCGGAUGUGAAAUAAUGAUACUAUGGAGUGAUAUUACUGAUAGAGAAUGAAAUCCCCCAAAAAAGAGCUGAGGCCGGGGCCGAAGCUCAGAAUUAGAGGCAGGAGGAGCUAGGCUAACUAGGGGCUUACAGGCUGUGUCUCGAGGAGUAAUUAGAAGAUAAUUGCAGAGAUAGAGGUAAGAGAUGAGAAGAUGGUAGAUGAAGGUGAACAACAACAUGGUAGAUGAAGGAGACGCAGCAGGUGCACCAAAGGCACAUUGAACUCUCACAUGCACUAAUGUUGCAUUCUAGAAUUACUUUAUUUAAAUUAUUUUUAAAAAUAAGUUAAGAAUAAAACACUCCUUUAUUCAUUUAUUUAAUAUAUUUUGUUUGCCUAGGUUUUGUAUUUGUUGUUGUUCAGCCGAAGAAGUUUUGCAGAAUCUGAGCUGCGUGCUACGUCAGUGUUUUGUUGUGUAGUGGAAGUAGUCAGUUAAAAACGUUGUAGCUCUGGAAGAAGAAACUUUGUAACGUAAAAUACACACAUCAUGGGCAAAUAAAGAUGCUGAAGAAGAGUCUGUUUUGUGAGUGCAACACUAUUUGUGUGUUAGGUUUCCAUCCAUUCGUUUUCCAACACGCUUAUCGCGAGAGGUACUGAUGUAUCUCCAGCGACAAUAUUUACAACCUAUUGUAAAUAUGUACAAUAGGUUUAUAUUGUACAUAUUUUAUACUUUAUUUGCACUUUUUCCAACUGGAUUUUCUUUGAUUGUACAUGUGUAAAUUACAAAUUAAUUCUAAGUCUUUAUAUUUUGUUAUUAGAUGAGCUCAAAGGAAGUAAAAAUUAGGUGGAACUGCUGUAAUUUAAUUCAAACUUGGAGCUUCACAAAGUACUUUAAUAAUAACGCAUUCACACUUUUUAGUACUCAUACCAAGCAACAUUCUGAUUGACUGUAAAAUAAUGUACAUUAAGAAUGUAUAUAACAUUAAGGAGCUCAGAACUUGCCUUUGUUUGAACCACAACGUAUUCGCAAUCCGGGGGGUAAAAAUGUCCAAAUCAUGUACCUAGCCAUUCGUAAACUGGACAUGUGCCUCCAUUGACUUAUAAUUCCUGAACUGAUUCGCCAUGUAAGCACUGACACCACAGACCAGGUAUGCAAAUGUCUGGGAAUGUCAAAUGAGGUAGAUGAUCAGGGUCUCUGCUCCAACAUUUUAUUUCAAAUAGGUCGAUAUGUCCAAUUUUAGCUAUUUUUUCCAUGUAGUGUUUUUUGGUUUCUGGGAGAAGCUUUUCACGAUAUAGCCCACUUUGUUUCAAGCUGCUUUUCAGCAUUAUGGAAGAGGAGGAUACAGCGGUAACACAAUAAAAACACCGGAAAAAGUUUGUUUUGGUCUGUGGCCUCAAAAGAUGGCCCUGAGCGACUGCGCGAGACAUAAACGUCUCACGCAGUGACGUCAAUUCCAAAGCUCUAUAGGCAGGUAAGUGAGCAGGUGGCAAGAAGUUUGGUUCAGACACGUUUCCCAGGCCACCUCUGAUUGUGGUCUGAAAGAAACCAUGACAAACAAUGAAACAACAAACUGAGGCUUAAUUUUAUUCACAUCUGGAUAUUUCUGUCUGGCCAUGGCUGGGUCACUCAGGACAAAUGUUAGUACAAGGUGUGAAUGGAGCCUUAGGUCGACAUCCAAAUUCUGGUCUCACAAAGUGCAAAUCUAAGCUUUUAGAUUAAAUAAUAUGUAGAAACCCCUACUGAAGGGAGGUAGAUGUACUGACUGCAGAUUGCUUUGAAAAUGUCAUAAACCUGAAUGAAAGAAAGUAAAUGAAGUCAAACAAAUGUUGCUUAGGGUCCUGUAGAUUGUCACAUGUGAGUCAAAGUUUUAUUUGUUACACUGUGCCUAAGGAGGUCUGUCUAAAGCCUUUAAAGUCUGACACUCCAGAUCAAAAAAUACCUGUCUUAUUCUUUUACCUCAGUGCUUUUAUACAAGGCAAAAAAAAAAAAAAUUCUGCCAUUCAUAUUUGAAGGAAUGUACCUUUCCUCUGGUUGUUCAAAAUAGGUUUGGUUUUGAUUCUGUCUCAAUGCAGUAACACAAUCAAAAAAUAGCAAACCCCAGAUAUUGCCAUUGUCCUCUUCUUCUUGUGGCCUCUUGCUAAAUAUUUGUUUUGGAUCUCGUGUUUUAUUAGAGUGUUAUCUCAGUAAAAGCUAUAAUGAUAACUUGCCACACACCUAUGCUUUGUGUAAGAAACUUUCCUUCUCACACUUUAAAUAUAAAUAGGUAUUAUUGCCAAUUUCUGUUCAUCCAUAACAUAUUCUUAACAUUUGUCUAUAUAUAUAUAUAUUUAUAUAUAUAUAGAGAGAGAGAGAGAAAGAGAGAGAGAGAGGCACUGACUUACGAUUUAUAAAUAUAGACACCUUGCAUGUUAUUGUUUACGUAUGAAAAUUUUGUGCAUACAUACAACGCUGGAGGGCAAAAAGACUAUUCUUUUACAUGUCAUCCAUAGCUGCGUUAACUCAGUGGAACUUGGAAAUGUAGGUAUGAAUUUCGUGCUAUGAUCCACAGCAAAGGAAAAAACCAAAACUACUUUCUCGUCUGUAUCGGCCAAGCUACACGCAGACUCAUUGCCAUAGCAACUAACAACAAUGCCAC